UGAGUACGACGGAGCACGUGAAAUUCCGUCGGAAUCUGGGAGGACCAUCUCCUAAGGCUAAAUACUCUCUAGUGACCGAUAGUGAACCAGUACCGUGAGGGAAAGGUGAAAAGUACCCCGGAAGGGGAGUGAAAGAGAACUUGAAACCGUGUGCUUACAAGUAGUCAGAGCCCGUUAAUGGGUGAUGGCGUGCCUUUUGUAGAAUGAACCGGCGAGUUACGAUCUGAUGCAAGGUUAAGCAG
rnacentral:rRNA from 1 species